rnacentral:ncRNA from 1 species
CCAAUAACAGGUCCGUGAUGCCCUUUAGAUGCUCUGGGCUGCACGCGGUGCUACAAUGUUAGGAUCAAUAGGACUGCGAGCCUGAGAGGGUGCGCUACUCUUAUAAUCCCUAACGUAGUUGGGAUUGACGUUUGUAAUCAGCGUCAUGAACCAGGAAUCCCUUGUAAAUGUGUGUCAACAACGCACGUUGAAUACGUCCCUGCCCUUUGUACACACCGCCCGUCGCUCCUACCGAUUGGAUGACUCGGUGAAAUCACCGGAUGCUUACGAGCAGAAAGUGAUUAAAUCACGUUAUCUAGAGGAAGGAGAAGUCGUAACAAGGUAACGGUAGGUGAACCUGCCGUUGGAUCAGUU